AGACAGAGGUGCAGAGGCUGAUGAUGUC
rnacentral:piRNA from 1 species